UACGUAGGGCGCAAGCGUUGUCCGGAAUUAUUGGGCGUAAAGAGCUCGUAGGCGGUCUGUUACGUCCGCUGUGAAAACCCAGGGCUUAACCCUGGGCUUGCAGUGGAUACGGGCAGACUAGAGGUAGGUAGGGGAGAAUGGAAUUCCCGGUGUAGCGGUGAAAUGCGCAGAUAUCGGGAGGAACACCGGUGGCGAAGGCGGUUCUCUGGGCCUUACCUGACGCUGAGGAGCGAAAGCGUGGGGAGCGAACAGG
rnacentral:rRNA from 1 species